CCACCAAUAUUUGAGAAAUAACAGAAAAACAAUUUACCCCUUGGAAAUUGGAGAUGAGAUUGUUCACCGUUGGCUGUCCUGGUACUUGUCUGCCCUUUCCCCCAGAUUCUACACAAAUAUUCAAGGGUCCAGGUGUAUGAAGUUGCCAGAAAGCUGAGCUCUCUAUUGGUUAAGACUCACUUAGAAAAAAGGAACAGCUGUUUGGGGACUGAGUUCUGUGUGACACUUCCUCUUUCUUCCACUGAGUUGAGCAGCUUUAAUGGAGUCAGUCAGUUGGACUAGAGGGUUCCUCAUCUGUAAAAUGGGCUUGAGAAAGAAAUGUCAAACCUCUCCAGUAUCUGCCAAGAAAACGCCAAAAUGGGAUCCCAAAGAGUCUGACACAACUGAAAAAGGACUGAACAACAAAGGUGUAGUAGCUCAUUGUCUUGGCAACUGACUAGAAUGGUGUUUUUGUUUGAUUUCUGAUUUCACUGAUAUAAGGGGUACCCAGCAAGGAAAUUCGUUUUACCAAUGAGGAUCAGCAACUGUAAGUAAAUUAUGUUGUCUGAGGGCACUGAGAGUCUAGGG
rnacentral:lncRNA from 1 species